rnacentral:tRNA from 1 species
AUAAUUAUGGUUAAUUGGUCAAUAAUAAUUGGCUAAAAACUAAAAUUAUAUUUUUUGUUUAAAAUACAUUAUUUUUG